GAAUUUUGGACAAUGGGCGCAAGCCUGAUCCAGCAAUGCCGCGUGAGUGAUGAAGGCCUUAGGGUUGUAAAGCUCUUUUACCCGGGAUGAUAAUGACAGUACCGGGAGAAUAAGCUCCGGCUAACUCCGUGCCAGCAGCCGCGGUAAUACGGAGGGAGCUAGCGUUGUUCGGAAUUACUGGGCGUAAAGCGCGCGUAGGCGGCUAUUCAAGUCAGAGGUGAAAGCCCGGGGCUCAACCCCGGAACUGCCUUUGAAACUAGGUAGCUAGAAUCUUGGAGAGGUCAGUGGAAUUCCGAGUGUAGAGGUGAAAUUCGUAGAUAUUCGGAAGAACACCAGUGGCGAAGGCGACUGACUGGACAAGUAUUGACGCUGAGGUGCGAAAGCGUGGGGAGCAAACAGG
rnacentral:rRNA from 1 species